ensembl:snRNA U6 U6 spliceosomal RNA
CCCAGAGAAGUUUAGCAUAGCCCCUGCAUGAGGAUGACACAAAAAUCCAUGGAGCGUUCCAUUUAAAA